CAGAAGCAGACACAGUCUGAGCUGUGAGCCCUUGAUCCUGGUUUGUCCUUGGAGUAUGAGACUGGUGACUGGAGUAACCGUGUUUCUGACCUUGGGAACUGUGAUUAAUGCUAAGACCACCCAGCCCAACUCCAUGGAUUGUGCUGAAGGAGAAAAUGUAAACCUGCCUUGUAACCACUCUACCAUCAGGAUAGAUGACUAUAUACAUUGGUAUCGGCAAAAUCCCAAUCAGAGUCUACAGUAUGUCAUUCAUGGCUUACGAGGCACAGUGAACAACAGCCUGGCCUCUCUGACCAUAGCUUCAGACAGAAAGUCCAGCACCUUGGUCCUGCCCCAGGUCACCCUGAGAGACACCACUGUGUACUACUGCGUCCUGAGAGGGGCACACGGGGACAGAUGGGGCUGCACCUGUGCGGUAUCUCUGGUGGGAAGAAGCGGGGACAGAGUAGGGGGAGCAGUCACGAGAGCAAAUCUAGAGUCAUCUGGAAGGAGAGUCAGAGAGCAGUGA